CCUACGGGUGGCAGCAGUGGGGAAUAUUGCACAAUGGGCGCAACCCUGAUGCAGCGACGCCGCGUGAGUGAAGAAGUACUUCGUUAUGUUAAGCUCUAUCAGCAGGGAAGAAAAUGACGGUACCUGUGCAUGUAGCCCUGGCUAACUACGUGCCAGCAGCCGCGGUAAUACGGAGGGGGCAAGCGUUAUCCGGAUUUACUGGUGGUAAAGGGAGCGUAGAUGGCUUUGCAAGUCUGGAGUGAAAGGCGGGGGCUCAACCCUCGGACUGCAAUGGAAACUGUACGGCUGGAGUGCAGGAGAGGUAAGUGGAAUUCCUGGUGUAGCGGUGAAAUGCGUAGAUAUUAGGAGGAACACCAGUGGCGAAGGCGGCUUACUGGACUGUAACUGACGUUGAGGCUCGAAAGCGUGGGGAGCAAACAGGAUUAGAUACCCGGGUAGUC
rnacentral:rRNA from 1 species